CUUGAUGGUAGCUGUGCGCAGGGCGCCCUCGGGCGCGCCGGUUUCUUGGAUCCCCGGUCGACUAACCUGCGUACAGCUGCCCCCCUC
rnacentral:antisense_RNA from 2 species